rnacentral:rRNA from 1 species
CAGCCGCCGCGGUAAUACGGAGGGUGCAAGCGUUAAUCGGAAUUACUGGGCGUAAAGCGCACGCAGGCGGUCUGACAAGUCAGAUGUGAAAUCCCCGGGCUUAACCUGGGAACUGCAUUUGAAACUGUCAGGCUGGAGUCUUGUAGAGGGGGGUAGAAUUCCAGGUGUAGCGGUGAAAUGCGUAGAGAUCUGGAGGAAUACCGGUGGCGAAGGCGGCCCCCUGGACAAAGACUGACGCUCAGGUGCGAAAGCGUGGGGAGCAAACAGGAUUAGAUACCCCUGUAGUCCCUGUCUCUUAUAA